GGCCCCAGGGGGUGAGCCACGCCAAAAUGCAAGUUUGGAGACGCACCCGAAUAAGGUGCCGGGGCUU
rnacentral:tRNA from 1 species